rnacentral:lncRNA from 1 species
UAUCGUCUUCUCUGAUACAUCAAUCUAUGGAGGCAUCCAUCGGCUUCGACGACUCCACCCUCGACCUCAUCCGUCAAUGCCUCCUCGGCGACCUUCCCCAGCCCGAUUCCCCCGGCCUGGCCCCCGCCUUCCCCUGCGACGGUGCCUGUCGUUUCCCCGAACCGGCGCUAGGCCGCCGGCCGUCGCUGACGAUAUCCGUGCCGCCGCGGCCGGUGGGAGCGGCGGCGGAUUGCGACGAAUUGAAGCGGUACCGCGGGGUCCGGCAGCGGCCGUGGGGGAAGUUCGCGGCGGAGAUCCGGGAUCCCGCCCGGCGGGGCGCGAGGGUCUGGCUCGGCACCUACGACACCGCCGUGGAGGCGGCGAGGGCGUACGACCGCGCCGCCUUCCAGAUGCGCGGCCGCAAGGCCAUCCUUAACUUCCCCCACGAGAUCGGGAGCUCCGAGCAGUGGGACGCGGCGAUGACGACGGCCGCGCAGGUCCU